GCCCGAUUAGCUCAGCUGGUUAGAGCGUCGUACUAAUAUCCUCUCCGGAAUACUAAGUAAAUGCGAAGGUCAACAGUUCAAUUCUGUUAUUGGGCA